rnacentral:rRNA from 1 species
AAUGCUCGGCUUUAAAUCAUUAAACUCAAGAGUUUGAUUCUGGCUCAGGACGAACGCUGGCGGCAAGCUUAACACAUGCAAGUCGAACGAGAGAGGAGAAGCUUGCUUUUCUGAUCUAG